AAUUUAAUAAGGGGACGAUNAGGCCCUAUAAAACUUUAUGCACGACAUGUCCUGUCUUUGAAUUAUAUCCAAAUAUUGGUUGGCUAAAAGUGCAUUCCGUUGGGGAGACGUUGAUAUAAGCUGUAACUGUCUUAUUAAAUAGAAUAAUUAUUAUUAUAAUUUGAUCCUUCUUUGUGGAUAAAAAGAAUAAGUUACUUUAGGGAUAACAGCGUAAUUUUCUCAGAGAGUUCUUAUCGAAGAGAAUAGUUGCGGAGCCUCGAUGUUGAAUUAAA
rnacentral:rRNA from 1 species